GGAUGCGAUCAUACCAGCACUAAAGCACCGGAUCCCAUCAGAACUCCGAAGUUAAGCGUGCUUGGGCGAGGGUAGUACUUGGAUGGGUGACCUCCUGGGAAGUCCUCGUGUUGCAUUCC
rnacentral:rRNA from 1 species